GUACCUACGGGGCGCAGCAGUGGGGAAUAUUGCACAAUGGGGGGAACCCUGAUGCAGCGACGCCGCGUGAAGGAAGAAGUAUUUCGGUAUGUAAACUUCUAUCAGCAGGGAAGAAAAAAGACUGUACCUGAGAAGAAAGCUCCGGCUAACUACGUGCCAGCAGCCGCGGUAAUACGUAGGGAGCAAGCGUUAUCCGGAAUUAUUGGGUGUAAAGGGUGCGUAGACGGGAUAACAAGUUGGUUGUGAAACCCCUCGGCUCAACUGAGGAACUGCAACCAAAACUAUUAUUCUUGAGUGCAGGAGAG
rnacentral:rRNA from 1 species